GGGCCUGUAGUACAGUGGUAAUACACCGCAUUCGCAUUGCGGAGCCGGGAGUUCGAUUCUCCCCAGGUCCA
rnacentral:tRNA from 1 species